UGGCUUGCGCCUGCAGCCCAGGCAACCCCGGGCACCUUCGCCCCCUCUCCGAUUGGGGCGGGGGAGGGGAGAGCGCCCGCAAGGACCGAGCGCAAAAAGGGGGUCUCCACAAGUCAGUCCUGUCCUUACCCCCUUCCUGGCGCCUCGGAGAAACUUGGGGUAGGGACGGCAGGCGAGGAGCAAGACCCUUGGGAGCUGGGAGCCCUCUUCCUCGCGGGUGGAAAAAUAAAUUAUUAAGCGCCCAAUACACAAUAGCUUCGCUAGAUGGAGACGAGGAAUCACUGCAGCGGCGCUGGCGGCGGCGGCGGGGAGCGCGGGCGGGAGCGCAGUCCGGGGCGGGAGGCGGGCGAGGCUCUGGCUCGGCUCACGUCUGUUUUCCUUUUUCGUGCAUUAUUUAUUUCGCCUCCGCCCGCAGCCCUGCGGCCCGAGCGGGCGCUCCCGGCCAGCGCCUCUAGUCGCUGCUUCUCGCGGGCCGGCGUGACCGGCCGGGAGAGCUCGGGCACCCCCGCGCCCCGGGCAGCCGCGCGGCGCCACCGGGAAGGGCGGGGACCCGGGGAGGGCACGCGCUGCCGGCUCCAGGCGGCACCGAGGAGACUUUCCCCGCCCUCCGCCUCCGCCUCGGCCGCCCUCCCGGGCCCUGGGCACUGGGUGCCGCCCCUCCCGCCCCGCGCGGCCAGGCGCAGCCGGGAGCCACCGCGCCCUGCGCCCCGUGCGAGCGCGCCGUGCGCCGGCCCCCGGCUCAGCCGCCCGGGAGGCCCAAGCCGCGCGCAAACUUUUGCUCCAGUGCCCAGCGCUCCUCCUCGGCAUGUGAAGCCCCCAGGCGCCCGCGCAGUCACCAGGUUCGCCCCAGGAGCAGGUGCCCCGGGCCGAGAUGCUCCUCCGGGACCUGGUGCUGCGCCGUGGCUGCUGCUGGCCCUCACUGCUGCUGCACUGCGCGCUCCACCCGCUCUGGGGCUUCGUGCAGCUCCCAACGCUACCUCGUGUCCGGCCGAGGAGAGCUGGUGGUCAGGGCUGGCGAUCGUCAUUGCGGUAUGUUGUGCCUCCCUGGUGUUCCUCACUGUGCUUGUCAUCAUUUGCUACAAAGCCAUAAAAAGGAACCAGGCCGUGUAGGGAGCAGCUCGUGCCCAUCUCUUGCUGCCCCGGGGUGCAGAGGCCUGUGUUUGCUUUAGGAGGCCUCCCUGGCUGGGUCCCCACAAGCCUCCCUGGCAUUUCCGGAUCCCCGCGGGGUGCGCUUUAGGAAACCCCUGAGAAAGGAGGAGAACGGCACCAGUGUUGCUGAGUAUCCCAUGACCUCCUCGCAGAGCAACAAAGGGGUGGAUGUGAACAGCGCCGUGGUGUGAGUUCUGCAGGCCCUGGACCGCCGGCCAGAGGGGCACCUUGGUGGCACUAGUGGAUGCGGGGAAGCAAGUGGACAGAAGCUGACAUCGGGCUUGUCCAGGACUUCAUUGCCUCAGAGGCCUUGAGCCUCCCAAAGGAGAACCAUCCUCUCCCCAGCCUUGCCCCUGGUCAGCCCACGGGCAGGGGUGGCGGACACCAGGCCUGGCCAGGCUCACCUGCAUGCAGCACCCAGGCCCGCAGCACCACCCGAGGCUCCCACCUCUCUUCCUCGGCUCGUCCCUGAUCUGCUGACUGUCUCCCGGCUGCUGUCUAAAGCACACGACCUGGGAAGGCAGGGGGUCUGUUGCUGGGGGGAGGUCCCUUCACCAAAAGACCAGGGAUCCAGGCGCCACGCUCCCGCCAAAACAUCUCCUCCCCUCCCCCAGGAAGCCCACCUGCUUCUUCCUUGACCACGCUGUUCCCAGCAGAAGCCAUGGGUGCAGCCAUGAGACGUCCCCUUUCAAAGGUGCUUCCCACCCACCUGUCCGCCACCCCCACCUGCAGUCGCCUCGGUUCAGGGCCUGCCUUCUCCCUCCUGUCCCCACCAACCCCUGGCCCUGACUCCCUGUCACAGAGGGCUGUGAGCCCAGCCUGCAGAGUCCCCUCCUGAUGGAGCAAAACGACUCCCUGAACCCCAGGUCCCAGGAAGGACAGGGGCCACUCCGCUGUCCAGACUCAUUCCCACCACCGCCGCCCCCCUUCCCGAGGAACUGACGCUUCUGCGUGAGCCAGGCCUUGCCUUCCCCUGGCAGAGGCCACCACUUGUGCCAAACCCACUGCAGGCGCUCUGGGCUGGGCCCACCUGGCCUGGUACUGAUGCUGUCCCCUCUCCCCCUGCUGCUCCCUGAGGUCUGGUACUCAGACCCUCUUCUGAGAAGCCCCAGGCCCCCAUCAUCCAGGAGGAGGCAGCAUUCUUCCGGUGGCUCCCUUUAAAUGUCCCUUUCCGAGGUCUUAUGCCCUAAAAGUGCUGAACCCUCCAGAGUGGUUGGGGACAAAUGGAAGGAGAGAAGAUGGGAGGAGAGGGACCCCGGUGGCCCCCAUCUGCUGGCCUAUUUCCCAGGCAGCUGCCCACCCACUGCUAGGCCCAUGGAGGCAGCAGCCUCGCGGGUUUGCAUCCAGAGCACCGCCAGUUCCGGGCUUCCCCCACCACCCAGAGGCUCGCUCAGAAGGAACCGGACACGUGCCCAGUGUGGUUCCACCUUCUGGCUGCACAGGGUCUUAGCUGGUGGGUGUCCCUGCCUCCCAACCACCCAUGUAGCUUUCAGGAGGGUAUUUGAGCCACAGGCGAGGCUUUCACAUCCAGGUGAGACUAACAGACUGAGAAGCAGUCCCCACUUGGGCUGAAUUUGAACCAUCCAUCAUCCAAGGCCCUGGUGCCCACAGUGGUGUCUGUGUGCCCAGAGCAGGGGGAGAAGGUGAGUGGCGUGACCCUAACCCCCACCCCCCCCCGUCAGCAGGUGCAGUCUGAGCACAGGCCCAGGGCAGGAGCCCCCCACCCCCCAAGAAAAGGUUUUUCCUUCUUUUCAGUUUUGCUCCUGUGUGAGGACUUGAUUUGGGUCUGGAUUGGAGUUUGCUGUCCCUGUGCCCCUUAGCACAGGGCCAGCCGCAGCCCUCAGCCCUGCUCUCACCUGGUCAGCACGUACAUUGCUCGUGGUUGAUGCCCCCCCCCACUUCACAAAGAUGCAGGGCCAGCGGCUGAGGGUCCUCAACAGGGGAGGUCCCCCCAGCCCCCCCCCCGCCAGUGUACUUCCCCCACCACCUGCAGCCUCUUCCUGAGUCCCCUGCCUGUUUCCAGAACAGACACCCAGGCAGGACCCCGGCCCUAAGCAUGUGCCAUCCUGGGCUCAGAAGCAAUGGGAGGGUACUUUUGACCAGAGGGGAAAAUCCUGGCUAAGCGGUCGUGGGGUGCUGGGCAGCCCAUGUGGGGGACAUCAAGAUGGGCAGGGCACAGCCCAGCUUUGCACAAACCCACUGGUCUCACCUUCCCCAACUUGGACUUAAACUUGGGAGGCCCGGACUUUGCAAUUUGCCUAAUCCUCCAGCUGUAGAGAGGAUUCUAUGAGCAUCCAGUGAACCAUCCAGCCUUCACUCUGGGGCUGGGAGCCCCUGCCCUGGAGACACACAAGCAGGGCGCCAGGAAAAGUUAACGUUUGCUCAUAAAUUCCCCCAGCUUGGGUUUGUCCAGUCUCUCUCCCCCAGUUGGUGUAAACGAAGAGAAGAGCCCAGUUUGUAAAAGCAAUUUCACUUGAGAACAAACCCAGCACCGGCCCUUUGGAAGACAGCUCUCACAGGGGCAGUGAGACGGCCCCAAUGGAUUUUCCGCUGAAGCCACAGAAGCAUCCCGAAAAACCGCACCAGCCUGGUAUUCGAGCAUAGAAUUUUAAUUUGAGGAACAUUUCUGCAGCCCCUAAACACAGACCCAUCCUCAGACCAGUCUGAAUUUUGAGGUUGAGAAUGAAAUGCGUGUUCCUUCUCUGCAUUUUCUCAAAAAUAGGUAUUUUUCAGCCAUCUCCUAGUUGAGCCCACCUUUAGAAUGGCAUAUAAGAUCUCCCAGAGUUUUCAGGUGUUCCUUAGAAGCUUCUCAAGCAAGUUUUGGAAGGCAGACUAAUAGCUGUAAAAAUAUAGACAUAUAUAUUAUAUAUAGUUAUAUAUAUUUAAAGAGAUCUAUCUAUAUAUAUAUACAUAUAAAAUUACUGUACUCUCUGACUCGGGACAAAGUAUGAUUUAAACAGCCCAGCUAGCAUCAGAUUUCUAAUGCAUGAAUGUAAAUACCCUGAGACCUGCCUUCCUAGCGCUGUGUCGCGUGUUCACGGGGAGAUAGAUGGCUCUUGUUCCCAGGAGUUCUGUCUCCAUGGACAAAUAAAUGUACAUGUCGGGGCCAUCCUGGCCCCCUCCGCGAGCCACCGAUGUUGACUUUGUGCUGAGAUGUCGCGCAGGGAGCAGGGCUGGCGGCGGCGGGGGUAGGCUCCAUGCCCUUGUGAGGAAGAAAGCACCAGGCCUUUUUUAUUUUCAAUAAAAAAUGUACUUAUGCAGA